rfam:Segniliparus rugosus ATCC BAA-974 genomic scaffold acqcO-supercont2.2, whole genome shotgun sequence.
GCGCUAGUAGCUCAACUGGCAGAGCAGCUGACUCUUAAUCAGCGGGUUCGGGGUUCGAGUCCCUGCUGGCGCA